rfam:Triticum urartu cultivar G1812 contig1354316, whole genome shotgun sequence.
CUAUUACUGAGAAUUCCCUUCAAGCACUUCACGAAGAACUUUUUCUAGGUAUUACGUGAAGUGUUUGGGGGAACUCUUGGUGCAAC